rnacentral:lncRNA from 1 species
UCGCAAGGAUGGUAAUGCGUGAGCUGGUCUUUGAAGGGGGAAUAAUAGCUAAUAACAGCUAACACUUAUGCAGCAGUUAGUAUGUGCCAGGCACUGUUCUAAGUGCUUUACAAGCAUGAUCUAAUUUACUUCCUUAUGAGAUGAAUACAAGCUUCUGAGCGAAAAACCUUUGUUAUCCCCAUUUUACAGAUAGGGAAACCAAGGCACAGAGAAGGUGUGUGACUUGCCUGCUUAAUCACCCCACCAAACUGCCCCUGUGACGAAGUUUGUCACUUGAAGAGGAGGCUGAGAGAAGUGAGCACAACAUGAAAGAGCGUGGUACGUGCUGGGCCUCAGAGGUGAGUUCCGCUACUGUUGGACUAAGAAGACAAAGGUCAGUGAAGAAGCAUCAGGCCUCCACCUGCAGGCCAGGCCUAGUGGAGCAGUGCCGGGGUCCGGUCGGCAUAAGGGUGGUGGGGAGAAGCCAGCCCUUUAUUUUGGGCAAUCUGCACAUGGACAUAAGUAUACACUGAAGCAUAGAACUGGUUUCAUUUUUCACAAAGGGGGUCUUACUCUCCAUGCAUGCAUGUUUUACAACUUACUUUUUAACCUUAACAGUAGGUGUGGGGCAUCUUUCCAUUCUGAGUGUGUUGAUCUAUCUUAUUUUGAACAGCCACAGCAGAUCCCAUAGUAUGGAAUCUUUUCUUAAACCAGCCCCCUAAUGAUGGCCAUCUAGGUUGUGUACAAUUUGCCCCUCUUAAUAUGCAUUACAAUUUUGUGGCUAUCAUUGUGCCUAUGUGAGGACUUCUACAGGAAAAUAACCUCAAAGAAUAAGAGUUGGCUUAAAUAGUUAUAUUUUUAUCUUCUUACAACUCUGUCCCCGCAACUAGACUGGAAGCUCCUGGUGGACAGGCUCAGAGUCCUGGAGCAUUGGAAGAGAGAGAAGGAGAUGAGGAAGCGAUCAAGGAGGUGAUGAUGGAAACCUUCUGAGGUAAGAGGAUGUCUAUCUUCUAUCUGGUUCUUCUGGUGAAAAACAUCUCCAACACCAGUUCUGGCCCUUUGAGGACACAGGACAUGGAAUCAAGAGCCAUCUUUCUGGACCUUUGGAUCCAG